rnacentral:rRNA from 1 species
GAUGAACGCUGGCGGCGUGCCUAAUACAUGCAAGUCGAGCGAACGGACGAGAAGCUUGCUUCUCUGAUGUUAGCGGCGGACGGGUGAGUAACACGUGGAUAACCUACCUAUAAGACUGGGAUAACUUCGGGAAACCGGAGCUAAUACCGGAUGAUAUUUUGAACCGCAUGGUUCAAAAGUGAAAGACGGUCUUGCUGUCACUUAUAGAUGGAUCCGCGCUGCAUUAGCUAGUUGGUAAGGUAACGGCUUACCAAGGCAACGAUGCAUAGCCGACCUGAGAGGGUGAUCGGCCACCAUGGAACUAGGACACGGACCAGACUCCUACGGGAGGAAGCAGUAGGGAAUCUUCCGCAAUGGGCGAAAGCCUGACGGAGCAACGCCGCGUGAGUGAUGAAGGUCUUCGGAUCGUAAAACUCUGUUAUUAGGGAAGAACAUAUGUGUAAGUAACUGUGCACAUCUUGACGGUACCUAAUCAGAAAGCCACGGCUAACUACGUG